UUGGGAACAGAAGGUAAUCUUUCUGUUUUCGUUCCAGCCACCUUGCCCUGAAUGAGUGUAAUCGGCUGAGAAACAAGAGUGAAAAGCUUUCGCUCCCCCUUCUAACUCUGCUGGGGCUUGGCUUUUUUUUGGAGGGGGGUACCUACUGAGCAGUACUUUGUGUUUUAUUUCAUUGUGGAUUAUUCAGAAGGCUUCAAUAGUGGCAGGUCUACAGGCCCGCAGAUCAAGACACGCUCUUGAGGAAAAGGAACUCCAUCUUAACCGAUUCUUCAUUGUAUGCACUGGAUGUUACUAUGCUGAUGGUGUACACUAAAACAGGGAGACGUCAUCUGCUGGGCAGGCUUGUCAGUGUGAGAUGACGUGACCGGAAGUACGUCCCCGAGGCUCCGAGGAUGAUGCACGUGUGGUGAGAGUUUUCUUGUAUAAAGGUGCCUAUGGAGGAGAAGGAGAAGGAGGAAAAGGAGGAAGGGGGCGGGGGGAGAAUGAAGAGGAAGAGGAGGAGAAGGAAGAGGAAUUAAGUUUGGGAUUGGUAAACCAAGCAAAUUAAAGGCUGUAUGGGUCUGUUUGUAACACAAAUGAAUCGGGUUUACUCUACAAGGUGCUAUGGUGGCACUACUUUUAAAUUAAUAUUCAGAUGUAACAUGUUGUAUUUGCAAACAUAUCCAUUUGAGAGUCCUGUAUAUAAAGGACAUGUCUGUUAAUAUGAUAUGUCCCAACAAAAACACAAUUGUGUAUAAAUAAAAUCUAGCAGGGACAAAAAUAAAAUAUUCAAUUUGAAAUGCUGUUAAUGUUUAGGUCUCAAAACUUACUCAGACUACAUUUUCUUACUAGCUACCGGCUGUUGCCAAACAUUACAUUUCUUUAUGUAGUCUAACUAGAAAAAAAUAGCUUGGUGAGAGUGAGACGCAUGUUUGCUGUGCACGCAGAUUCAUAGUAAAAAAUGUAAAAUAAUAAAUUUUAUUGCUCAUAGUAAAAUUAUUGAUUUCUUGUAAAUGAUUCAAUGGCCAGGUUAGUGUUUGAACAUAACAGGGGAGGGGUCCUGGGGUGCAC